rnacentral:rRNA from 1 species
UACGGAGGGUGCGAGCGUUGUCCGGAAUCACUGGGCGUAAAGGGCGCGUAGGUGGCUUGGCAAGCGUGUGGUGAAAGCCCGGGGCUCAACCCCGGGUCUGCCGUGCGAACUGCUAUGGCUUGAGCACUGUAGAGGCAGGUAGAAUUCCGGGUGUAGCGGUGGAAUGCGUAGAGAUCCGGAAGAAUACCGGUGGCGAAGGCGGCCUGCUGGGCAGUGGCUGACACUGAGGCGCGACGAGCGUGGGGGAGCGAACUGG